CAAUUUUUUUUUUUUUUUAAUAUUGCAUCAGUGGAGAACAAUUAAAAGCAUGGUUAAUAAUGAUGAGGUCACUGAAAAAGACAUCAAGUUCUCAUGGAGAUGAAGGAGAAGAACUCUUGCUAUUCAGAAUGGAGCAGCCUGGAAAUGAUAACAUGGAGCACUGUGGGGGAACUGAAAUCGCAGUACCUCAAACAGGCUUGUCAGUGGCUGCUUUAGGGUGGUAUGGGUAAUAAUGGCCUCAGGCUGUGGUUGAGGCUUGGAACAGCAGCAGGGUGGUGUGGCAGUGAGGAGAGGCUGAGGGAGCUCGUGAAUCUGACAGUGAGCUCAGCUCUGACCCAUACAGAUCCCUGUAGAGAAAUGACCUGUACCCUCCCCGUGCUCUAAGAUAAUUGGAAAGACUUACAUCCAAGCUGGGAUGUCAGAAAAAGACCCACAUAAUAUAAUAUUGGAAGGAUCCUUCAGCUUGUCUGAACUCAUGAAGGGAGCACCAAUGCCUUAAAACAGGAAUUGCUUGCUUUUUUUAUUUAUUUAUUUUUUUUUAUUUUAAUAAAUCUUCUUACUCUUAUAAGGGGGAAAAAACAUGUAAAACAUGGGGAUGAUCAAACUAACACUGACAUGUAAAAUCUAUACUCCAACAGAAUUAUGGGUACAUAUGAUUAAUGUUAUCCCUUCUCCUGAAUUAAAAUCAAAUGAAAAAUUUGCCUUUGUCUUAUUGGCCUGUCAUAUUAGAUUGAUCAUAUACUUAUCCAUUACAAACACAUUGGCCGAGUCUUUCUUCCCUUUCUCACAGAGACAUUAGCACAUAUGAAAAUCCAGACAAGAAGAGCAAAGUGUUUCCCUUGACUUUGGUUAUUAGUGGAAGUUAAGGAGCUGCUGUUUGAGCAUGUGACA